CCAACAUUUUGAAAGAAUACAACUGCAGGUGAGUGAGUCCACGUGAUCAUUGUGUGGUACAGUAACACUCUCUUAUUAAGCUUAAAAACAUGAAACAAUAUCAUAGUCAUUGUCAAUGGGCAAAACUGUGUUCAACCAUUUAAAAUAUUAUUGCAUCUCUGACAAGUGAUUGUUGCAGUCAAAUUCCACUUGACUGUAGAUUCACGGUAACUGGACUUCUCCAAAACUGCCCUCUGAUGCCGCUGAUGGUCAUUAGUAGCCUACCAAACUUACUAACGGACAGUUGCUAAUGGUGUGUUCCCUCUAAUCACUCUGACAGAACCCUGGCAUUCAGAGUUUGAGUGGAAUAGGAUCACCUGUUGCGCAGUGAGAGCCAGCUCCUCAUAACUGGUUGAUGCAGCAUCAACUCAUAACUGGUUGAUACAUGGAAUAAAACAUGUGUUCCUAUAAGCCCAUGUUGCACAACAUUUUUCUAUAGGCUAUGCUAUGUAUUUGCAUGAGAAAACAGUUUUGAUGGCCUAUAUUAAAAAGAGGAGGAUCCCAUCAGCUUUCUACAGGCUAGGCCUACUAUAUUUAUUUCUCAACUUUGCUCAUAUUAAGCACAUUGCUUCGCUUUACAACCGGAGUAACCUACCUGGCUGGGCUGAAAAUGAACCGCUGGAAAGGUGUCCUCCAUUUGCUAUUCAAGUGCAUAGUCUUUUUUCCCCCUGCCCCUGUUCCGACAGAGGCAAGAUAAUGGCCUAUUCUAAAUUAAAACUAAUUUAACACAUAUAUUAUUUAGUAUAUGUAAAGACAAGAUUAAAUUGAGAAUAGUCUGAUGGGUG
rnacentral:lncRNA from 1 species